rnacentral:rRNA from 1 species
AUGGUAAUCAGAGCAUCCCUCUUCCAAUACAUCUCAGCUUCCCAAUCUCCAUUAGUGCCUAGCAUGUCUUCCUCCGGCUCCUCCCAGAUCGGCCUCAACAACCAGGUCACGGAGAAGCUCACCCGUACGAACUACGUACUGUGGCGAGUCCAGAUCACGUUGCAGCUAAGGGGAGCUGGCGUCUUCGGCUAUGCCGACGGCAGCACGCCGGAGCCGGCUCGUUUCCUUCCUGGCAAGGACAAGGACGGCAAGGACUCCACCGAGCCCAACCCUCUCCACCCAAUAUGGGUCCGGGAGGAUCAACAAGUUCUCGGUUAUCUGCUCAACAAUCUCUCCAAAGAGGUGUUGGUGCAGGUGACCGCGAUCACCACACGCACGCGCUCUGGACAACGCUGGCGGCCAUGUUCUCCUCGCAGUCGCUUAGCCGCAUCAACAACAUCCGCACGGCUCUGCUUCAUGCGCAGAAGGGAACCCAGCCGGUCGCCACUUUCUUCGCUCACAUGCGCGGCCUCGCCGAUGAACUCCCGCGGCCGGCAAGCCGCUGCAAGACGACGAGAUCGUCUCCUACAUCCUUCACGCGCUGGACAUGGAGUACCAGCCUUUGGUGUCGGCCCUCGAUGCUCGCACCUCUCCCGUCACCCUGGAUGA